ACCGUGUUUUCUCUGCUUCUCUAGCACACGCACAAGUCACAGGCGACUGGGGCGCAGCGGCAGCCGGUGGACAUCGCCAGAAGCAGGCGGCCGACGGCGGCCGGCGGAGGUCGCCGGAAGCAGGCGGCCGGCGGAGCGGGUGCUUCGCACGGAUGGCCCCACAGCGGCGUGCCCCCGGCGAUCCCCCACCAGUGACCGAUGGAAGAGCGAUUCUCUGUAGAGAUUAAUCACGCUGGUCUGUUUUGCGGUUCUGGAAUGAACAAGGCAUAUUUCGAUGGCCGGGUUGAUCACUUUGAUGGUUGUGAGGUAGAAACCUGGUCUCCAUUGUGGAUAUAUCAUUUUGUGGGGCAGCUUGGGCAUGAUCCAGCUAGGGUGGAGUUGUACUGGUUACUUCCUGGAAAACAUUUGCAUGAUGGGCUUCGCAUAAUUCAGAGUGAUGCUGAUACUCUGAUGAUGAGUGUCGUUGUUCCCAAAUUUCAGUAUUUCCAACUGUAUGUGGACCAAAAAUAUUUAUCGGAUGAUAUCUAUGUAAUUGGCUCUCCAACAUUGCCAGUGGUUCUUAGCCCUCGAACAGAGAUAAACGUGCCAAUAUUUUGUGAUGAUGCUGCCAGCCCAAAUAGUAGGCGAAGGUGCAAGGUCAAAGCAGUCAAGGGAAAUUUGCAAAACUGUUUCUCACCCAAUACAAAAGGCAGUGGAGAUAAAGAUAAGGAUGACUCGGAUGACAGUGAUAGCAAUUAUGGCGACAAUUUGGUUGACUCGGAUAAUGAAUUCGACAAGGAUGAUGAUGAUCUCUUCGCAUAGUGGGUUGAUGAAAAUUAUGAGGAUGUGAAAGGAAAGAAGAAGGCGGAAAAUUUUGAUAGUGAUUAUGACACGGAUGAGCUUGAUCUGCCAGCCUCGGACUGUGAUUAUGAGCCAGAGGUAGUUGAUGAAGAAUCAAAAGAAGAAGAUGCAGAAGAUAACAAUAAGAAGAAAAAGAAGAAAAAGAAGAGGGUCAAACUGAGAGCUUUCAGACCAGAAGAAAUGCAAGCUCCAAACUUCACUUUAGGGAUGUCAUUUUCUUCAGUAGUUGAGCUGAGGAGGGCAAUUCAAAAUUAUAUCAUACAAGAGAGAGUUGAAAUAAAAUAUGCAAAGAAUGAUUUGCAAAGAGUGAGGGCUCACUGUGUAGAAGGAUGCCCUUGGUAUUUGUUUGCAGCACCUGAUAGCAGGACUAAAAAUUUUGUUGUUAAAACUUAUGUGGGCACUCACACAUGCAGUAAAGAGUGGGACAUCAAACAAUUCACUGCUAAAUUCUUAGCUGCAUAUUACAUUGAAACUUUUAGGGCAGAUGACAAGAUGACACUAUCAAAUUUUGGAAGAUUGGUGCGGAAAGAUUAUGCCUUGUAGAGAUGAAAGAUCAUGGCAAAAGGUCAACGGAAUUGAAGUGAGACCACCUCAGUAUGAAAAACAUGUUGGUAGGCCAUCUAAGAAGAGAAGACAAAAUCCUGUUGAGAUGGAAGAAGGGGCAAAGAUGAGUAGACAUGGCACUAUAUCCCAUUGCAGUGUGUGCAAUUCAAUAGAGCACAACAAAAGAAAGUGCCCAAAUAAAGGUCAACAAGGGCAAUCACUCAGUGUUGAUAAGAGACCACAAACACAAGGAGGACAGAAGAGGAAGCUAGAAGUGAAGAGAAACAUUCUUACACUAGUACAACAACAUUUUGUUUCUCUAUUUAGUAGUUAGCUCAUUUCAUUUUUGCAACUAUUGCUCAUACUCUAUUUAUAGGAAUCUGGUACAACAAGUGUUGGACAUAGGAAGCAACGCACUCAAACUACCGUGCUUGAAACACUCCUUCUCCAAGCUCAAGCAUCGCAGCAAUCCCAUGUGUCACCAGGCCCUAUUCCAGAAUCCGCCUUCAUUGCUCGCAACAGAGAUGCUUUGCAGCCCACUACAGCUACCACAUCCACUGUUGGCUUAAAGAAGAAGCAAAAGAAGAGGGUUACAAAGGCCAGUAUCACUGAAUAUAAGUGAACAUGUUCUCACUUUGGACAGAGAGCUUUUUGGACAGACAACAGCUCUAUUUUGGAUAGUAUUUAGAUGAUGCCAGCUAGGUGUUGAAGUAAACCUCAUGCAUGUGUUGCUGUGGGUUUAUCUGCACCUUCAUAUGUGCAUUUUGAGGUUCUCAUGUAAUAGAAACCUAAAUUACUAGCUUUUAUUUCGAGCACCAUGUAAUCCACUAUUAGUUAUAUGUACCCAAUGCACUUCGUAUUACUGUUGUGAAUGUGGCCAAUGCUAUCAGUUGUGUCAAUGUUUCA